rnacentral:tRNA from 1 species
GGGGAAGUAGUUUAAUUUGGAAGAACGCUCGGUUUGCAUCCGAGAGGCUGGGAGUUCAAAUCUCCUCUUCUCCA